GUAGUGCUGCAGUGAGGGGGUGCACGGCACAGCACCUCCACCAGCUGGCAGACCUCAUGGGGGGGGACCAGGUCUUCGCAGCAGGGAAGGUCUUCGCUGAGCGUGUCCUCGCUGCUGUCAGUAGGAUGGCGGUGGACGCUGCACCGGGAGUCAGGCACCACGGACAGAUGAUGCUCCAGGGACUCGCCCCCCAGACGGAGUUCAUGGCCAUGUGGGAAAAGAUCGUCCCGGCCAAAGACAGAGGUCCCUUGCAGAAGAUCCUGAGGAACGUUCGGUAGUAGAAGCGGAGGCGGAGGAGAGACCGGAGGACAUCUGGACAACAUCUUGAUCUUUAGGCUGGUAUGGAGGUGCAGGGGUGAGCGCUGUUACCUCACAGGUAGAAGGUCUGGAGUAAGAACCUGGCAACCAGCCGGGUCUUUCUGGGUGGAGGGUCUCCCCGUGCCAGGAUGCCCGUGGGCCCACAUCGGCAGAUUUGGUUAAUUAGAGACUCUAAAUCAGAGGUUGUCAAUCUUCUUUUCAGCCAAGGACAAAUCAAGAGAAAAGGGCUAAGAUGAAGUUCAUUUCAAUUAACAAUUAAUUUACAUUGGUGAUGUAGCCAUCCACAGAUACAGUUAAGGAUUCACACGGCGUUCCACAUGUAUGUUCAGAUCACACGUGAUGUAGAAAUAACAUGAAUAUCCAUCCAACCAUCUCCAUCCAUCCAGCCCAGUUUAAUACGCAACUCAGUUGUAUACAAUACAUGUAGUAGGGUGACCCUGCUCCAUCUCUCUUCAGCUAAGAGGUCCUUGGUCUAGAAAAACAUUGGAGACCCUGGUCUACGGUACAUGGGCCGGUCUGUGAGAGACCAGCAGCUUUUCCAAAAUGUACCCCGGACAAGUCCUCAGUCUAUCACAGGGCUUAAAGUUAACUGGGAUAAGCCAACAGUAAUAAUAACAAUAAUAAUAAUAAUAAUAAUAAAUAUGCUAUGUAUUUAAUACCACUUAAAGUAUUUGAGCAUUUGAUCCUGUCUGGUUCAGGGUCUUGAUUGGGGUUCAACACACUGCUCAUUCAAGCAGCUGUAAGUUUUGUUUUUGGGGGAUGCGGGGGGGGGGGGGGGGGGGGGG